UACGAAGGGUGCAAGCGUUAAUCGGAAUUACUGGGCGUAAAGCGCGCGUAGGUGGUUCAGUAAGUUGGAUGUGAAAUCCCCCGGGCUCAACCUGGGAACUGCAUCCAAAACUAGCUGAACUAGAGUACGGUAGAGGGUGGUGGAAUUUCCUGUGUAGCGGUGAAAUGCGUAGAUAUAGGAAGGAACACCAGUGGCGAAGGCGACCACCUGGACUGAUACUGACACUGAGGUGCGAAAGCGUGGGGAGCAAACAGGAUUAGAUACCCGUGUAGU
rnacentral:rRNA from 1 species